GGCAAGAUGGUCACAGAGAACCCAGACAAUCUGGAUCAAUGCAUGGACAGAGCUGUGUGCUGGAUGAACAGGAGAUUAACCUGCUGCCUGUGUCUAUCCAAAAAGGUAUUUCAGUGUCCCAGAGCUGUUUACUGAUAAGAAUGAGAAAUCAUCUAUAUAGACUGUUAGCAAAAAUAUGGCUUGUGUCUGUCCCUCAGUCUUAUGUGAAGCUAGUAUGAAGAAACAUAGAUGGAUGAGUGAACUGUUUGCAGUGAAGUUGGUCACAUCCAUACUGAUGGUGUGUAUUUUGCCUGUAGAGGUCGUCUACUCCAUGCUGCUAAGAUCUGCUGACUGUGUGUUGGAGAUGGUGUCUGAUCUUUUGUGGCUGUGGGAAGUCACCUCGCAGAUGAAAGCAUUAGUGUGGAUGAAACUGUCCUGUAAAAGGUUUUCACACGGCACAUUCCACAAGCAGAUAAGAAAUUGUACAGGCGUAGAAAAGCUAAAUGAUAUGCAUGUGUCAAACAUCUGUAAAAUGGCUGCUCUGAAUUAAUUGUGCUUUUUUUUUAUUAUUAUUUUUUAGCAUACCACCACCGAAGGUUUCAACUCUACAUCCUUAGUCUAUCUAACCAGGUCAUGGGCAUUCCAGUCUCAUCAAUGUCCACACCUGUUCCUGCUCAGGCUCAUUUUGUAACUUUUCUUUCACAUUUUUUGGAUCAUGUGUGACAAUGCAAAUGUUCUAGAAAAGGAACAACAAAAAAAGAAACAUUUACAAAUGUACACACGGAUUCUUGUUAAUAGAGAGUUUUUUUUUUCAUAGUAAGGUAAUUGUAAUGACAAAUAAAGGAAUAAUUGUUCUACAGAAUAUUACACUUGAAUAAGUUACACAUGCUACUCCUGAGAUACUAGUGAUCCUGACCCGUUCUGCUCUCCGGAACUACCUGAUCCAUUCUGAUGCCCUACUUCUGGUUGGGGUUCUCAUCACUUGGAAAUCACUCACUGUUCCUGAGGAUGGCCCCACAUGGACAUCCUGAAGAUACGGGUGCAUCUCAAAAAAUGUUAAUAUUGUGGAAAAGUAAAUUUUUUCCAUAAUUUAAUUCAAAAAGGGGAACUUUCAUAUAUUCUGCAUUCAUUACACAUAAAAGGAAAUAUUUCAAGCCUUUUUUGUUUGUUUGUUUUAAUCUUGAUGAUUACAGCUUACAGCUCAUGGAAAUCAAAAAUCCAGUAUCUCAAAAUGUUAGAAUAAUAUUGAAUUGAAUUUAAUUGAAUAAAAUUUUAAUAGAGAAAAUGUAAUGUUUACAAUAAGAGUAACAAAAUAGCACCAAGAGUGUUUUAUAUAAACAGUAAAACCACAGUAAAUCAAAGCUUUAAUAUUCACACAGUACCAUGCGUCAUUAAAACUGUGUUUUACAGUACUUGAAUUUGUAAUUUCAUGUCAGAGGAAACAACUACUCCACAAAUACCAAUAAAUACCACCAGUAGUCACGUGAUUGUAUCAGUAUAAUCUUUUAGAACUACACGUUGAAGGAUUAUGGUGAUGUCUUUGCUUUGAUUAAAAAUAUUUUAAUGAUUUCACCUAUGCUCAUCAAUAUGUGUAACUAAUAUUU
ensembl:lncRNA